rnacentral:rRNA from 1 species
GAAUAUUGGACAAUGGGGGGAACCCUGAUCCAGCCAUGGCGCGUGUGUGAAGAAGGCCUUUUGGGUGUAAAGCACUUUAAGCGAGGAGGAGGCUACCUAGAUUACUACUUUAGGAUAGUGGACGUUACUCGCAGACUAAGCACCGGCUAACUUUGUGCCAGCAGCCGCGGGAAUACAGAGGGUGCGAGCGUUAAUCGGAUUUACUGGGCGUAAAGCGUGCGUAGGCGGUCAAUUAAGUCAAAUGUGAAAUCCCCGAGCUUAACUUGGGAAUUGCAUUCGAUACUGGUUGGCUAGAGUAUGGGAGAGGAUGGUAGAAUUCCAGGUGUAGCGGUGAAAUGCGUAGAGAUCUGGAGGAAUACCGAUGGCGAAGGCAGCCAUCUGGCCUAAUACUGACGCUGAGGUACGAAAGCAUGGGGAGCAAACAGG